GUAUGGAGCAAGCGUUAUCCGGAUUUACUGGGUGUAAAGAGAGCGCAGGCGGUCUGGCAAGUCUGAUGUGAAAUACCGGGGCUCAACUCCGGGACUGCAUUGGAAACUGUCAGACUGGAGUGUCGGAGAGGCAGGCGGAAUUCCUGGUGUAGCGGUGAAAUGCGUAGAUAUCAGGAGGAACACCAGUGGCGAAGGCGGCCUGCUGGACGAUGACUGACGCUGAGGCUCGAAAGCGUGGGGAGCAAA
rnacentral:rRNA from 1 species